UGUUUUCUUCCGGUUUCAUCGGGGUGUUCGCAGGCAGAACAGCUGAUGAGUUGAGGGAUAAAUACAAAAACAUGGAAAAGGAUAAAUAUGAACAGAUGCUAAAAGAUACAAAAAAGAAACAACAGAUGGAAGGAAGCUCGAGAGAUUGCAUGAUGUUGCUCGAUAAUGGAAAAAACAAUAUGCUGGAAGCUGUGCUUGUUCGGAAUGAGUUGCUGAGAAAGACUUUAGAUACAACGGACAUUGCGGUUAAUAUCAUGCAAGCAGAGGAAGAAGAAAAGGAAGAAUAGAUAUAUUUUUUUGGUAACAUUUGCUUGCAACUGUGUUUAAAUCGACUCGUUGAACAUACCUGUAGCUACUAUAUAAUAUUGGUGCGACAAAUGAGUGUAAGCAAACAUUGCAUCA